rnacentral:rRNA from 1 species
GACGAACGCUGGCGGCGUGCUUAACACAUGCAAGUCGAACGGAAAGGCCCUGCUUUUGUGGGGUGCUCGAGUGGCGAACGGGUGAGUAACACGUGAGUAACCUGCCCUUGACUUUGGUAUAACUUCAGGAAACUGAGGCUACUACCGGAUAGGAUCUCCUGCUGCAUGGUGGGGGUUGGAAAGUUUCGGCGGUUGGGGAUGAACUCGCGGCUUAUCAGCUUGUUGGUGGGGUAGUGGCUUACCAAGGCUUUGACGGGUAGCCGGCCUGUGAGGGUGACCGGCCACAUUGGGACUGAGAUACGGCCCAGACGCCUACGGGAGGCAGCAGUGGGGAAUAUUGCACAAUGGGCGGAAGCCUGAUGCAGAAACGCCGCGUGCGGGAUGACGGCCUUCGGGUUGUAAACAGCUUUCGCCUGUGACGAAGCGUGAGUGACGGUAAUGGGUAAAGAAGCACCGGCUAACUACGUG